UCCGGAAUUUAAUUUCAUUGACGAUUCAUUUUCUCUCCCACUCUCUCUCUCUCCCACCCCCCAUUACGCCUCUUUUCUCUUCUCCCUCAUCAGAUGAUUUUGGUCCCAAAACCCUAACCUCCGUCGCGCCUCUACAAUCCUAUCAUUUCUGACGGUGAAGUCGACGAAGAAGAAGUUGAUUUGCUACCACCACCAAGUUGCUGUCACUUGACGACGAGUGACUGACCGAAGAAGACGAAUUUCAAGUAGAAAAUGGUGAACAAACGAGGCAGGUCGAAGAGUCAGCCUACUCAAACGACAUGGUCGAAGCGCCGAAGAAAUCUUGAGGAUGAGGAUGAGCCUGAGGUUGCGGCGCGUAAAUCUAGAAACAAGAAGGAUAAUAAUCUGUAUUUCAGGAGAUCUCCAAAUGAGUUUGUUAAGUAUAUAAAGAGACUCAAUCCAUGACAGAGAGAGGCAGUAAACGAAUUAGGUUUUGGACCAAUACUACACUACAACAUACCCUACCUUCUCGUUAUGUUGGCACACUGGAUACUGUUGGUGUUCAACCCAGACCGAUGCAGGAUUGAGUUUUCCUCUGAAGAAAGCCUACCUAUUUUUGAGGAAGACGUUCAUCUGACGUUUGGUUUCCCAAAAGGAGCUACGCUGAUUGAAUGCCCUGAUAAGGCUCACACCAAUUUCGCGUUCCUUGAUGAUGUAGCUGGAUGUUUAGGUAAAGACCGAUAUAUGUGCACAGCGUCGGAGAUAGGGGAUCUAAUGCUUCUGGACGUUGACGGUGGUCCUGAAUUCAAGAAGCUCUUCAUGUUCUUGCUGGAGAACGCACUAAUUGAGAUGCCUGGAGAUGGAAUGAUGAAGCCAAAGGUUUUGCAUUUCAUCGAAGAUGUUGAUGAGAUAAAGAACAUGAACUGAUGUGGCUACCUGCUAUCUGUCCUCGAGUAUACGUAUGGGAGAUGGAAAUCAAAAAAUAGUGUGUCAUUUACCGGCCCAGUUAGCUUUCUUAUGGUGAGUGAUGUACUGAAUAUGUUGUUAGGGUUUUGUAUACUAGAAAUCACCUUUCGAGUGAUUGGAUACUGUAAAACUCUAAUGGUUAUUUUCCAAUAAAUGCAACAGAUUAUUUUUGUCA